rnacentral:rRNA from 1 species
AAGCGCUUGCAACCAGACUUGCAUGCGGUUGAUCAUCCGGUGUUCUCACCGGUGCACUUGACCGUGUACAGGCCAGCAUCGGUUCAGGUGGCGGGAUAAAGGCCUUGGGAAUGUAGCUUCUUUCGGGGAGUGUUAUAACCCAGGGUAUAAUACCCCUAAGGAGACCGAGGUUCGCGCUCUGCAAGGAUGCUGGCGUAAUGGU